ensembl:lncRNA
UAUAUAUAUAUAUAUAUAUAUAUAUAUAUAUAGGUUAGUGCAUUCAAAAAUAAAUAGAAGAUCCUUUUUAUUUAAUGAAAAACUCAUUUUGUGUUGGUGGGAUAAAGGACCAAGAGAAAUGUAGUCAGCUGCUUUUUAACUUUUAUCAAAUUAGGCAACUAUAUAUUAGAAGAAAUAGCUGAAAUUAUUUCACUUACAGUUUUACUCAAUUUACUCAUCUUCUGUGCAUUCACAUUAUAUUAAAACAUAUCUUUACCAACCUAUUUGUGGAUUUUACACUCACACCUUAGAGUGAAAAGGGCAGGGAUGGUCAUUUGAGACUUUCACAAUAUGGGUAUCUUCUUGAGUUCCCUCUAAAAUUAAAGAAUAAGAACAGAUCACUCAACGCACUUAAACAGCGUUAAAUAUUUAAGUGGCAGUUGAAUUUAUUUUCAUAAUUGUUUAUUAACUUUUGUAUAAUCUUCAUUACUUUUUGAGAGAAAAAAAUGUAUUUAUCAAAUAUGUGUAAUCAUUAUCAUGCCAAAAUCUGAAUGCUGUAAAAUUUUUGUAUAUUGUUAAAAUUGUAAUUCUAAAAAAAAAAUUGUAAUUCUAAAUUGUAUUUUUUAAAUAAUUCUUUCUGAUGUUGUUUUUAUGUCACCCAUGAUGAAAACUGGACUUUGAUAUCUAUACAUAUGAACUAUUCCACUGAAAAAUUUUUAAUAGUCUUUUUUCUUUUUUGGUGCCUAUAAUUGGUCAUUUCUGCUGGCCUUUCUCCAAUGAACUCUGAAAUCUUUCUAUAUGUGCUAUCAAUAAGAGAAGUACCCUGGAACAUUAGAAAAAUCCAGCAAGAGACUUGCUUUCAUCAAGCCCUUUACCAGACUUUGAGCAAAGGUACUGAAGGCAUUGAAAAAAGUCAUUGACUUUCAAGAUCAUCUCUUCUUUUUCUCAAGAAGAAAGCAAUGGAAAAAUAAAUUAUCUUCAUUCAAUGAACCCCCAAUUUGGGGCUUGGGGGAGCUUAGAGACAUUGUGAAAUCAAAUCUUGUGUUAUUUUUCACCUGGCUCGCUCUUUUUGAGAAGGUUAAUGGGCUAUUUGGCUGGUGAGACACGAUCCCCUCCUAAGAAAAUCCUUUUCAGGAGCCAAAAAAAACCAAAUACAAACAAACAAAAAUAUACCCAGAGAAAAAACUUUCCUUCUUCCCCCUUCCUGAUGAUGAGUGAGAAGUAUUGAGAACUUUCGGGGUCAGUGCCCUUCUAAACUCCCCUUCCCCCAAUAAUGCAGCUGUGUAAUGAAUGCUAAAUGCAGCGGUUUGGAUUCAGUCACAGCCCCAGCCGGCUGGCAGGUGGCGUAUGUGUUCGUGCUUUAAUGUAUUCAGAGCCAUUGGGCAAUAAGCAGUCCAGAACAUUGAAAACUCAAACAGCAGAGAAAUAAACUGGUAGGUGGCAGCAGAGGAAGGAGGAAUUCUUCAGAUUGAUGGCUACUGACAAUACCAAGUGAAGCAAGGGGGACAAAGAAGUGGAAAAAUAAGACUGAAAAUUACUGGAUUUUGACUUUAAGUGGUUUUCUUGAAGUAACCAGUGAUCCUUGCUUACCUCAGUGACAGAAUGGAUGAAGAUGGGUCUGACUCUGUUUUCUCAAGUGGAAAAUAGAAAUAUACAACAAGAAAGCAGUCGCUUUAACCUCUUUCUAAAAUAAAAACGCCAUGAACUGGCAGUGAAAUAGCAUGGAGCAUGACUUGUCCUUUUGGCAGCUGUUUGUACCCACUCUGUCCUGUAUGAAUUUUCUGAGGUCUGGAUAUCUAGACUUGGUGUCUAGCUCCAUGUGUCUUUUUUCUUUUUUCCUUUUCCACUCCUCACCUUUUGCAGGUUGGAACUCUUGGUUCCUUUGGUUCUUGCUCUCUGCCUGAUCUCUCUGUAAUAUCUUCAGGAAGGAUUGAUCCUUUGGCACAUGAGCAGGCACUAAAAUAUGUACUAGAUGGAGUUCUCUCUGUCCUUUCACACUUUGUGCUGAAUAACUAUUGUUGUAUUUUUUAAUCUCAAGAAUACUUCUGACAAGGCAUGUACUUUUUCUACUUUCUGUACUACAUUCUAUAGUCGGAUAUUCAUACUGUAGUCCUGUCACUUAAUGGUUACAUGGUCCUUGGAAAAGUCACUCUUCAAAACAGAUUAUUUGUUAAAAAAUGAAAAUGAAAUAACUGUACCUAGCUUUAUUAGCCUCAUGUACUAUAAUAUAUGUAUAG